CAGUGAGGAAGGUGGGUAUGUUAAUAGCAUACUCAUUUGACGUUAGCUGCAGAAGAAGCACCGGCUAACUCCGUGCCAGCAGCCGCGGUAAUACGGAGGGUGCGAGCGUUAAUCGGAAUUACUGGGCGUAAAGCGCAUGCAGGUGGUUUGUUAAGUCAGAUGUGAAAGCCCGGGGCUCAACCUCGGAAUUGCAUUUGAAACUGGCAAACUAGAGUACUGUAGAGGGGGUAGAAUUUCAGGUGUAGCGGUGAAAUGCGUAGAGAUCUGAAGGAAUACCGGUGGCGAAGGCGGCCCCCUCGGACAGAUACUGACACUCAGAUGCGAAAGCGUGGGGAGCAAACAGGAUUAGAUACCCUCGGUAG
rnacentral:rRNA from 1 species